UCCAAAUUUCCAGAGUUUCUCUGAAGUUCUUGUUGGCCUUAUUAGACUUUAUCAAUCCUAGUUGCUUUUCCUGAGACAUCUACCACAUGUGACAGUUUUGAUGUGGAUACUGAUGUUCCAGAAUUGACUGAUGAAUUCCGUCAGACAAAAAUAGCUUGUGUGUAUCAGCAAUUGAACCAAAUUGCUUGGUUUAAAAGUAAAAGCCUUAUCUGACUUGGCCAGCAUGCUGCACUUUGUCUCCUCCCCAGCAAAAUUUCCAACCUUCCCUGCAGCCCUGCAGCUCAGGGGCUGGAGGCACAGGAACUCAUGGCUAAGGCAGGAGGGACUGGGGCUGCACUGGGACUGCACUGGAGCUGCACUGGGGCUGCACUGGGGCUGCACUGGCUGUCCUUGGGCUCCAGGAAAGCUCAGGGUUUGUGUGCCACGUCCAACAGGAGUUGUGGUGCCUCCACUGGCCGAACUGUGGCUCCCUGGGGUUUGAAAACACUCACCUGGUGCAGUGGGCAGCUCUCUUUCAAAUGCUCAACAACCACUGAGCAGAUUAGCACUGCCUCAGACCUCACACUCACCAAGGAGCACUUACUGAGGUAUUAGUUAGUGAAAACCUGGGCAGGACUCUCUCAGCCUUCAGGCAGCUGGCAGUUCAGUCUGCCAUAGGUGCUCUCCUGACCACCCAAUGGCACCCAGAUAGAGCCAAAGUUAAUUUAUCUCAUUCUAGUAAUUGGAGUUACUUACAGAUAUCUCUAUCACAAUGUCAUAUUCUCAUAUCUGAAUUGCCCCAAAUUUGCACCUUACCCAUGUCAAGCUCUGCAAAUAACCUAAGAAGUGAUGCUGUAGGAAUUUUGUUUUUACUGUCAAUCUCCUGUGCAGCACAAUACCUUUGAAAGCUGCAAGAAAUAUUUAUAUUAUUGGAUGCAAACGCCAUGGGAAUGUGCAAUUGAUUAUUCAAACCUCAUGCUGCUGCUGCAGAGAUUUGUGUUGCUGUGAGUGACUUUGAUUCCCUGAUAGCCUGUCUCAUGCUCCUGUCCCCUAAUGGAACUGAUAGCAUUAAGUCAUGCAGUUAAUCAAGUGAAAGAAAUUGUUUCUCCUUAUUCAAAGACCUGAUGACUUUAUCCAACAGGGAGGAUCUCUAACAGAAUAAGACAAAGAGAAGCAGAUGAGAUAAGAAACAGCCACAGGACUCACUAAGCAGCAGAGUAGGUGUGUUUUUAAAGGCUGCAGAUUUGGAAUAGAAAAACAUUCUGAAUGAUCUAUGGAAAGACAGCCUUCUGGCUGGCACUUUAUUAUUGCAUUUUUCUGUAUUAAGGAGUCAAAGAUCAAGAAUAAAUUCAAUCCAGGUACUGAUACACAGAAUUGUUAAUUGAGGUGUGCUGAGGUGUGUGAGGACAGUGUGGAACACAGCAGCUCCUCAGAGGAGGCAGCUGGCAAAGAUGGGUGCAUGGUCCCAAAUUAUCUGUGUGUGAUGGUUUUCCUGCACAGUAUUUCCAUCACUGAUAAUGAGGAAUUAAAACAUAAUUCACUAAUGCAUGAAAAGAAAGGUCUUCACAGGGCUGGGUACUCCCAGGGAAUGAUUAUCCUGAUGAAAUUAACUUUAAUACAGGAGGCUCAGGAGGAAGCAUAAUUCUCCCUCCUUUUCAUGCUACCCAUUAUAACAAUGAUCUGUGCAAAACCAAUUUGACUAUUAGAUCAUUCCUACUAAAAUAACUCCAAACCAUUUACAAGUAUCCUAUUAGGACUUGCUGCAAGUAGAUGCUGAAGCACUUCCAGUGCUGCUGAGUGUAAUUUGUACCCUCCCUGUUACCUCUGCCAGGUGGAGCUGUUGUCUCUGGUCCCUGGAAUUCCUGCAUUUCUGGGGAAUGGCAGCAAGCAGAAGGGAUCACUCUACCUCUGCAGGGACAGUGGCAGUGUGCUCUUUUUCACAGACUUUAGGAGGUGGCCCCUCAGGAAGCAAUACAUGGAUGCUGUGUGAAACUGCCCUCUGAGACAGGCCCCACGCUGAGCUCUGCUGUGCUCUCAUGAAUUUAUAACAGCUCUGCUACACUGGAAUUGUUCCAAGGCUUUGCUGGUGAGGAUGCAGUCAAAAUCUCUCCCACGGGGAGCAGAAGUGCUGCAGAGGAGUUUGCCCCUUUCACCAGAUUCAGGUGCUGAAGAGGAGAACCAAGAGCCAGGAACACUUCCCUCAGCAUGGUGCCACACUGCUGAGCUUCUUCAUGUGUGCACGUCUCUGAUAACAGAACAGGUAAAGGUCUAUGAGAAAUCCCAAAACCUGGAGUAAGGAGGACUUCUCAGUCACAGCCCCAUCGCAGUCCUGGCUAGGAUGCUUCAGAGCAUCUCAGCAGGCUGCUACUUAGCUGCCAACUGCUCCUUAAGGCAAAAAGAGGUGAGUCUGAAUUUGUCACAGCGUGUGACACUGACAGAGCUGGAGCUGCUCAGUGCUGUGGUGGCAUUCAGGAUGUUGUGCCAGCAUCCUGGAAUUUAUUGCCCACAUUUUGCCACGUGUGUGAAGGUGAGCUGGCAUCACAUGAAAUGUCACAUUGGCCAGGUAAUCCCUUUAGCACAUAUUUAAGUUACUGUGGGAUUGAUCAUGCUGGGUCUGGGCUGAGAAGCACAAUGAGCUUACACAGGCCAGUGCAUUCAGCAAGAGUUCAGGUAUCUGCACCUUAAUGUGUGCAGAUACAUCCUCCUCAAAAUACUACCAGGAACCUCAUCUGCAGUGCUUACCAACCUGCAUUUCACUCUCUGCUGCACUUGGUUUCUCACAGAUUUCUUUUGUUUUGCUCAAGAUAAGCCCACACUACAGAGAAUUGAUUUGGAACACCAUAAAGUCAAGUGUUACUUGCAUCCAUUGAUGUUUCAGGCUCGUUUCUCUUGUCUGCUGUAAUUACCACAGAAAGGAGGCUGUGAUAAUGGUCAACAUCAGAAUUAAUGAAGGAAAAAUAAAACAGACAUAAAAGGCCACUGCAUGGCACAGCAGGAAUGUAACAGGUCUUCAUGAAAAAUUUCCCUGUGAGUUUGUAAAUACUGAUUUUCUUCUUUCUUCUUCCAGUUUCUCACUCCAUGUUCACAGUGGCUUUCUGUUCCCUGGUGGCAAGCCAAGGCAGAGGAAAUCCAGCCAAGCCAGCCACUGUCCCCACAUGGUCCCUCCCCAGACCAUUCCCGCCAGGCAGACUGGGAAUUCCCUUGAUGCUGGGAUUGUUAAAGUUUUCCUGGUGGUUAGGGCCUUUUAUACUCUUUCACUGCCAGCUCUGUUCUGACUGCUAAAUGGUAAGAGCCAAGCAACUCUGCUGGUGAGUUGGUUUGAGCUGCUCCACUGCUGCUGCUCCCCAUUUGCUUCUUUGGAGAGUAUGCAACAUUCAAGGUGGGUGCUGGCUUUGCCCUAAAUGUUCAGGUUUGAGAUGUUCUGUGGGUUUUGCUCAUUCCUUCCUGCUGAUCAAAGACUUUUCUCUCCUGGUACAAGUCCAGCACUCUCAACCACUAGUGCUCUGAGCAGGGAGAGCAUGGAUGGGACUGCAGGAGCAGCUGGCUCCUGUGGCUGUGAUCCACUUUGUCAUCCCCUUUUUUCUGGUUCACUCCAGCUGAAGAGGCACCUGGGAGAAGUUUGGUGUUUUCCUAAGGCACACCUUGGUGUCCAGCCCAACCUCUGGGUAAUGCUGGUUGUUAACUUUACAGUAUUUGCCAUAAGCACUGUCACAAGGUUGUGUAUCAAACAUCUCAGUAAAUGGUUGGUCACGUUACAGAAUUGAUACAUGAAGAAAGCAGUCAUUGCCAAUGCCCGGGAAAGAACAUAAUCCAUUCCUAAAAAUAGAAGUGUGACAGCUCAUGACUCAGUUAUUAGGUCUUGGUCAGAGUAUUUAAUUGAUUUCCAAUGUGGUGCAUGUUAUUUUUAAGUCAUAACCUAUUUUUGGCCUUAGGAGAAUUUUGCAAAGAGAAGGAGAUAUUGCAUCAUAUCCAUUCAGUAAAUAUUUUAGUAAUAAUGUGAAAUAGGUUGUAAGCAACAGGUUAGGAAUUUCCUUCAUAGAACACAACCUGCUCAUCAGCUUGCUAAGGAUUAUCCCCCCCAGUUUGUGGGAAUUGGAAGUCAGUGUCAGGAAAUUUUCUAACAUAUUUUUUGCCGUAUAGGUAAUGGAAUAUUUUUAGUAUUAAAAUAAUCUGAUUUUUUGAGGAUAAAUAAAUAUGGUAUGGUAAUAAGUGAUUCUGUUUGAAAUCACGGGAAUAUUUACUGGCUAUUUGGUGACUGUGUGGGCUUUCCCUGCAGUGCCUCUAUGACCUGUCUGUAUCCUCAUGUGUGGUUCUGUAUUCCCUCUCUCUCCCUGUGCCCACCCUUUCCUGUGCAAUCAGGUGAGGAGGUUUCACACCAAGUUGCUUCUACCUGCCAAAGCAGGGCCAUUUGUUUGAGUCCUUCCUGGCCAGAGACUGGUCACAAAACAGGUCAGACAAUAACAACCCUGAGACUACUGUGUUGUCAUUAAUUCAAGUUGAACUUGGCCAGCAGGCUCCAGACUUAUCAAAGUGGACAAACAGGCAGACAGCCCAAGCACAGUGACUGCACAGUCUUGGGAAAUGAGCUAAAAAUAAUAGUGUAUUUAUUUCUGCAAGAAUGAAAUUGGAUUUGAUUCAACCAAUCUCUUGAGCUAAUAAGGGUAAUGAAAAUGAGAUUACCAUGAUUUAUUAUUUCUGGUAGCUAUUAAUUAUUGGGUUUUUCUUUUGAGUAAUUAAAGGGGAAUUUUUCCUGCUUUAAGUGAGUGCACUAGCUCUCAUUAAUCUGAAGUCUUAAAAAUAUAUCCUUAACCUGGAGAGCCUAAAAAACCACUAGUUUCCUUAUAACUGUUCAUUUGCAAUGUAAGACCACGAAGCAACUCAUAGAAAAGUUGUUUUUACUCUUUUCACAUUUCUGUGAGUGUGUAAAUCCUAUUUACACCGUGGCUGUUUAUUGGCAUCUUGGUUCUGCCUUCUGUUUCUCUCCUGGACAGAUCCAGAGUUCCUCUGCAGAAUCAGCCAUGGCUAAAUUUAAGCACACAGAUAUAAAAUAAAUACUGGAUAGUGAUUUUUCCCCCACAGACUUCAGUUACCCUGAGAGAGACCUUAAAACAGAGGCAUGUUGCAGCAAUUUUAGGUGGUAGCCCAGCUUUUAUUUCUGAGGGCAUGUUGUGGAGGCAGCUUUCUGCCAUGGUCCGACAGCAGCAGGAUGAUGGCCUUUAAAAAUAGGACCUUUGCCAUUUUGUGUUCUUGUCAGAAUGUCACAAAGGUCAGGCUUGUUUUUCUCCCUUUUUUCUCUUCUGGUUAUUGCCCUCAUCAAAGGAAUGGGUUGAUUUUGCUGGUGUGGGGUUUCAUCCUUGCAGUGGCAGGGCAAGGAGGCCCAAAGCUGCGCAGAGGCUCCCCAGGGCAGCAGGGCUGUGUUGGCUCAGAGCUGGGCUGGGCUCUGCAGAGUGCUGCCUGUUAUGAAU